ACUGGUCUUUGUCUCAUUUUGCUGUGCACCAGUGGGAACGUCCCUUUGGACCGUCACUGUCCAUGCUGAUACUUGGAAACCACAUUUCUAGGGACUGAGCGUGCGUAGGGUACAGAGAUCGGCCCCUACAGAGACACCUGACCUGUGGGUUACAGGAGGGGAGCAGAGGGCACUACUGUGACCUUCCGAAUCCAUGAUAAGAAGAGACACAAAGAUGACUGUGAACCAGUGAUUUCCAUUCUCUCCAGUGUGGCCUUGGUGAAUGGUGUCACCUGCCUUUCGGUCCCAUUCUGGGAAGUCCGGGCAUUUGCACGCAUCGCCCACCCAUCAUCACCGCCUGGCUGUGCCCAUGCCCGCAGCUGUCUUAGAGGCAGACAGUGCUGGGACUGGCAGCGACUUGGGAGAUCUCCUGAGGAGGGAUGCUCCCAGCGGCAAGGCAGCACUGGACUCCAACAUGUCUUCUCUCCCCCUGACUCUCAUUCAUUCAUGUUAUGAAUAAAUUCAACAAAUAUUAAAUGUUUGUGGAAUGAACACUACAUUAUUAAUGACUGGUGAAGAGAAUGUGUUAUACCUCCCCGAGGUAUUUGAACACGGAACAAUA